CUUCCCGCGCGCGUCCUCUCCCCUCCCCUCCCACGCGCCUCCUCUCCUCCCACCCACAUCGCCGCCACCCACCGCCUCGAACCGCGCCGUCAGCGGCCAGAUCCGCCGCAACAGAGCCCCCCUCCCAACGACGACGAGCAGCAGUGGAGGGAGGACGAGGAGCGCGACGGCGGCAGCGGCGGCGGGGAGCAGCAGCAGCAGGCCAAGGCGACACAGCAACAGGCCUUGGGCUUGGGCGACGUCGACGCCGCCAAGAUAAGCAGCAGAAGAGGAGAGUUCAUCCCCUCCUGGCCCGACACCGGCAGCCAUGGGUCUGCGCCUCCUCUCUGCCUCUGCAGAGGAGAGGGGCGGGGAUGAGCUUGCAGCUCUUGAUGUGCUUCAAUUCGAUUUGGAGUAGAGCAAUUGAUGUAUUCCUACAGCUGCUGUAGAGGAUAGGAGAGCACAUCACACAAUUCUCCACCUUUAAUGAACAACGUCCGGCAUCUCCGCUCCACGGCUUCACCGACUAGCUAGGUGAGCCCCUUUGCUUGGUCAACUCUAAUACAUUCCUAUUAUAGAUCUGUCCAGGAUUUUAUGUGAUUGGGCCUGCUGUUGAUCUAUGAUGCACAGAACGAGUGAUUUGUGGUUGAGUAGUCCAUUUAGCCCUUUCGAUGCUUGCUGUGUAAUCCACCGUGUAUCAUAUUGUUCAGAUCCCAUGAGUAGCCAUUUUUUACCUGUACAUGUUUGCUCUGUGGUCGACCAUGUAUCAGACUGUUUAGUUUGACCGCUUGCCUCUGCUAAUUGUAGUCAACCCAUCACACGAUUGAUGUUUGUAUGGCUUGCCUUUAAAGAAUGUGCCCUGCCAUGUUUAAAAGCAGGUCCGCAUCAUCGUUAUGUUGCUACAAAUCUCUGUUUUUUUUCAGAUUCCUGUUGCACGUAUACCUUGCUUGUCCUGGACUUGCCCCUGAUAACAAAAAAUGUGUCGAGUGUUUGCCGGUUCAAUUCUGCCAUAUUACAUUACCAUGGAUAACAUGUAUUAAUCUGUUAAGCUUUUCUUGCUGCAUAGGACUACUUGUAGACUCGAUAUGAUUUAGUUGAUUGUUGGUUCUUGUGCCUAGGACCAGAUCGGUCCUUUGCUGUUGUCUGUGGCUUUACUAGCUUAAUAUCUCCACCUGUUGCUUUUAUGGUGCAUGCCCUAUGUAGAAGACUUGUGUAAGCGUAUACCUUGCAAGGUACUGUUUACUCAUGGUUCAGGUUAGGGGACUCAGAGCGGCGGAUUGACUGAUGACAGGAUUUUGGUUGCGCAGAUGAGCUGGAGGUGUCGGAUGUGUCCACGGUGUUGGAUGUGCCUCAGGAUCUGAAUGAACAAUAGGCUAGGCAUACCACUCUCUUGUCCAGUGCCGUUCUUUGUGUGUGUGCCUCUUCUAGUGUGAUCUACUUCUUGACAUAUCCCUAGGCAUCUUGACAUAUCUCUAGACAGGUUCUCAUGUUCAGCGCAUCCAGUUUGGUUGAUUAUUUUGGGGGGCUUAUUUUGGAAAGGCUUUGAGAGACUGUCUGAAUCACCACCUUGUGUUAAUAGAAUUAUACAUAGUUUUGUACAGCCAUUUCAUUUGCAUAGGGCUACGAAGUACAAUCAAACAAUCUGCAGCUUAGCACUACUGUAUUUCCUGGACUCCCCAAUUUGGGAUUUAAGCAUUGAGGCGUUGAAUAUGUCUAUAUGAACUGUAGUUCUAUAUUCCCUGCUACUCGAGCUGGCUCUCUCUCUCUCCGACGUCUUGGUUUGCAGGCCGCUGCGUGGUGAGGUACUGACUAAGGAGCAUGAAUCGCCACCACCACGUACCAGAUGUUGCCGUCAAGGUCGGCGUCAUAGUGACUGUCGAUGACUUGCAGCUGAUGCAUUGAUCAACACCGGUCUGGCGAAACUGAGCUAUAAAUAUGUGAAAAUCGAUGAUUGGUGGGCAGAAUUAAAGAGGGAUUACCAAAGAGAUACACCUGAGCAAGCAGCUAGACCCAAGAUUGCAGGCUUCCAUACACAGUUAUCAAGGGCCUACUGAAAUAUUGGCCCAUCAGAAACAGCACCAAGGAGGUGAUGUGUUUGGGAGAGUUGGAAGAGAUACUAGAAGCUACACAGCCUGCGGAGUUUCAGAAAUGCAUGGUUCCUCUUUUCCGCCAGAUUGCAGGUUGUCUGAAUAAUUCUCACUUUCAGGACUGUUUGGGAUAUCAAGCAGAAAAUUGUUCUUGGCAUGGCUGUCAAUCGUGGCUGCUACAUUGGUCAAAGCCAGAGCCUUAAUAUCAGCAUGGGUCAAGUCAACUCCGAGAAGCUAACUUCACUGCACUUCCACGCCUGGUGCAAGGUUUUCCUGUCGAUUUAGAUAUAGUUCUAACACUCCAUGAUUAUACUGAAAAUUUCAGCAGUCGGUGUUGAACAGGUCAUUAUGGCGCUAUGCUUGAGCGAGUCACAUGAUAAGGCGUUUAACCAAAGCUAUCUAUAUGUGUAAUCUGUUACUAUACAAUAUUAGAAUCAAAUAGAUUGGUUAUUCUGGGCUAUCUUUGUGCCUUGCUUUUAUUUAUUUUCGAUAAACUGGCAGGAGCGCUGCCUUUCAAGUAGAAGAAGAGAGAGUGUUACAAAUACUUUACACAAGGCUUUUCCCUACAAGAGUCCGGAGGCGGGGGAGCCUCUCAAACAUCACCGGCAUGCGGAUUACUCACGAAUGAGAAAGCAACUAGAUCUUGGUGCCUUUCCGCUCUGCUAAGGUUUGGAAAGCACAGGCCACCCCCAAAUGCAAGCUCUUCGCCUAGCUUGUCCUGCAUGGAAGAAUCCUCACGGUGGAAAACCUGGCAAUUCUGAAACUGUACUUGCAAAGGUGGGUUGGAGAGGAAAUUGUCGAUGCUCAAGCCAUGUCAAGAAGUGGAGCAAGAAGAGUGAAUCGGGAAAACUGGGAACACGUCUAUUUUUUAUGGCUUAUCCUUAGGUUGUAUUUGUUGUGGCGAAUUGACCGAGUUUUCUUACCGCUGUCGAUGCUGGCCAAUAAUGAAUCAUUGAGGAAUGUUGAACCAUUAAGAGUUGAAUUUAGGGUCUACUUAUUGUCGUAGUAUUGUAUAGUUUUAGCAUCUCCAUUGCCUGUUGUUCUCUUAUUAGCUUUUAUAAUCUCAUCAUGAUCGUGUUGAAUGUUUCUUCUUUCUCUCAUGUACCAGAAAACAAUUGUCAUGUCGAAUACAUGUGGUAAACUUACCUUUUUACUAAAGCAUCAUGCCAUGUAA